rnacentral:misc_RNA from 1 species
UACAGAGACCUCAAGCGUUAUCCGGAAUCAUUGGGCGUAAAGCGUGCCGAUAGGCGGUCUGGCAAGUUUUUUGUUAAAGUCCAUGGCUCAACCAUGGGAAUACGGAAAAUACUAUCAGACUAGAGGGGCAAAGAGGUGCUUGGAACGAACGGUGUAGCAGUGAAAUGCGUUGAUAUCGUUCGGAACACCGAUAGCGAAGGCAGAGCACUGGGUGCCACCUGACGCUGCUAGGACGAAAGCGUGGGGAGCGAAUGGG